UACCUGCAGAAGAAGCGCCGGCUAACUACGUGCCAGCAGCCGCGGUAAUACGUAGGGCGCAAGCGUUGUCCGGAAUUAUUGGGCGUAAAGAGCUCGUAGGCGGUUUGUCACGUCUGGUGUGAAAACUCAAGGCUCAACCUUGAGCUUGCAUCGGGUACGGGCAGACUAGAGUGUGGUAGGGGUGACUGGAAUUCCUGGUGUAGCGGUGGAAUGCACAGAUAUCAGGAGGAACACCGAUGGCGAAGGCAGGUCACUGGGCCACUACUGACGCUGAGGAGCGAAAGCAUGGGGAGCGAACAGGAUUAGAUACCCUGGUAGUCCAUGCCGUAAACGUUGGGCACUAGGUGUGGGGCUCAUUCCACGAGUUCCGCGCCGCAGCUAACGCAUUAAGUGCCCCGCCUGGGGAGUACGGCCGCAAGGCUAAAACU
rnacentral:rRNA from 1 species